rfam:Gossypium arboreum cultivar AKA8401 contig_2522_7, whole genome shotgun sequence.
AACCUAUGGUGAGGGCAUCUUUUCAAAAGAUCCUUGUAUCUCUCCUAUGCAUCAUAGAGUGUUUCUAGAUCCAUUUGCAUAAAGGAAGAAAUGUCAUUCCUCAACUU